CGCAUCUAUGCAUGCAGCAUAUCAAUAAGCGAGGAAAAGAGGGCUAUUACCUACGCUUAGGAUGUUGACACACGCGCGUGCUCGAUGAUAGUCUAUACAUGACUCUGUGCAUAUCAAUAAGCGGAGGAAAAGGCUGCGUAACUGAACGACCGCUACCUACGCUUAGGAUGUUGACACACGCGCGUGCUCGAUGAUAGUCUAUACAUGACUCUGUGCAUGCCAUAUCAAUAAGCGGAGGAAAAGAAACUAACAAGGAUUCCCUUAGUAACGGCGAGUGAAGCGGGAAGAGCUCAAAUUUGAAAUCUUCAAGGUUUUACCUUGACGAGUUGUAGUUUAAAGAAGUGUUUUCUGUUGAAGUUUUGGUAAAAGUUCUUUGGAAUAGGACAUCAUAGAGGGUGAGAAUCCCGUAUUUGACCAUUAUUUUCAGCUGUGUGAUACACUUUCAAAGAGUCGGAUUGUUUGGGAAUGCAGUCCAAAAUGGGUGGUAAAUUUCAUCUAAAGCUAAAUAUUGGCGAGAGACCGAUAGCGAACAAGUACCGUGAGGGAAAGAUGAAAAGAACUUUGAAAAGAGAGUUAAACAGUACGUGAAAUUGUCAAAAGGGAAGCGUUUGACACCAGUGUUGUUUUCUCGAAAAUCAAUUAAAAAGAGUUUGAUUUUGUUGUGUAUUGACCUUAACAGCUUGCAUUUCAAUUUUCUUGCUUUUUUUAAUGCACUUUUCGUUUAACAAGUCAACAUCAGUUUCUUUUGUUGUAAAAAGGUCAUUGGAAGGUGGCUUUCUUUUCGGAGAAAGUGUUUAUAGCCUUUGACUCCUGCAAUCGGAGAGACUGAGGUCUGCAGCGUAGAUCCUUCGGGGUUAGAUACAUUUGUGCUAAGUUAUAGCUUUUUAUAGACAACUUGUUGACUAUGAUUAGUCUUGUAGCUUACUCGCUUAUGCUAUUUUACCUACGCUUAGGAUGUUGACACACGCGCGUGCUCG
rnacentral:rRNA from 1 species